AUAAAUGCUGGGUUGUAGGUGUUUGGUUGUGAUUUUAUUCUAUUUAUAAAGCAUUUGUAAACUGUAUAUUUUAAAUAAUUGGUGUAUGUAAGAGUGAUUUGCUCUUUGAAUACGUAUAAGAGUAUUUGUGGAGUUGGCAACAGCGCGCGUCAUAUAGUCGAAUGGCGUUUGUGCAUAUACUCAAUGGCGAGUCGGUUUUGUCAUUUCGUGCUGUGGCUUCUCUGAUUGGUGGAGACGUUGGAAUAUUGAAAUCUAAUUGGACUACGUGAUACAAGUGGCGAACAAUAAUUGAUUUUUGGCUAGAGAUUGAUGGGAUUCAGCGUGGAUAAGGCGAAGGGAGAAAUAAUUUAGUGAAUUUUGGAGGUGAGUGUAGCUCAUAGAAGUGUGGAGAGUACAAAAUCUGGUGGGCGACGGCGACAUUGUAUUGAUCAGCGUAGUACCCCCCAUCUAUUUUCAGCCCUAGGUACUUACGGCAUCGGCUCCGAUAGCGUGUGUAAAUUAACGUGAAAAAAGGCAAAAGCCCGUUGAAGAAACCAGCCCAAAAGUGCGGAUCGCGUCGAACGGACCAUUUACUGCAUUUGGAAAGUGGGUGUGAGGUUCACAUUGGCAUGGUGUAGGCAAAAGAUGAUGUAUUUAUGCGGUUUUAACCAGCUGAUGGCGGGCGAAAAUACUGGACAUUUGGUUCGUUUACCCGUUUAGUGUCUGUUAGUUCGGAGCAGACGAAGCCAGGGAUCCUUGAGGCAUCCGUAAUUUGGCCAUAGCGAUCGACCCGCGAGAAGGUUUGGGACGAGUCGUGCCUCUAAAAGUGACCCCGUCAGACUAUUUGGACUCGUAUUUGGGCGUGCACUCCUCAUCGCAAUUCAUACACAUAUACCCCCUCAGACGGGAUCCAUCGAGACGUAUCAUCUGCAUAAGUGCAUAUCCACCCUAUCUACCGGCUGAACUAUUUCUGGCAGAAGCUAGCAAAAACAAAAUACACGACGAAAAAACAAAAAGGGACGGCAACGGCGAAAUCAAUUGAGGCCACAGGGCGACAACAAAAGACUCAAAAAUUGUUUGUGUAUGUAUGCAUCCGAGACGACUGUCGCAUGUUGACAUGCUUAACCGUUUAGUGUGAACCUCGAGAGGCGACGAAUAUCGGAUUUAUAUUGUGUUUCAGUUCCGUGUGCAUUUCUGUGCUGAGUGAUUUUUUGUUUAUAUCUACCGGUUGCGCGCGGACAGACCGACGGACGCCAUGUCUACUACGACGUUCGUCGAUAGGAUUGAUCCAUUUGCCAAGCGAUCACUCAAGAAGAAGACCAAGAAGUCUCAGGGCAGCUCCAGGUACAGGAACUCCCAGGACGUCGAGCUUCAAGCGCUGCCUCCACUCAAAGAUGUAUCUACAUCGGAACAGGAAGAUUUAUUCAUCAGGAAGCUUCGGCAAUGCUGUGUGCCGUUCGACUUUAUGGAUCCCAUCGCCGACUUGAAAGGGAAAGAAGUCAAACGUUGCACGCUGAAUGAGCUCGUCGAUUACAUAACGGGUGGUCGAGGCGUCCUCACCGAGGCCGUCUACCCGGAAAUUAUAAAAAUGAUAUCGGCAAAUUUAUUUCGGACGUUGCCGCCCAGCGAGAAUCCCGACUUCGAUCCGGAGGAGGACGACCCGACGCUGGAGGCAAGCUGGCCUCACCUGCAGCUCGUAUACGAGUUCUUCCUCCGUUUUUUGGAGAGCUCCGACUUUCAGCCCACCAUAGGCAAGCGUGUUAUUGACCAAAAAUUCGUGCUCCAGCUGCUCGAACUCUUCGACUCUGAGGAUCCGCGUGAACGCGAUUUUCUCAAGACAGUUUUGCAUCGGAUUUAUGGCAAAUUCCUUGGCUUACGCGCCUUUAUCCGAAAACAAAUCAAUAAUAUAUUCCUUAGGUUUGUCUAUGAGACUGAACACUUCAAUGGUGUUGGUGAAUUACUGGAAAUUCUAGGUUCUAUAAUUAAUGGAUUCGCGUUGCCACUGAAAGCAGAGCAUAAACAAUUCCUUGUCAAGGUUCUGAUACCCUUGCACAAGGUCAAGUGCCUCUCGCUUUACCAUGCACAGCUGGCCUACUGUGUUGUGCAAUUUUUGGAGAAAGAUCCUACAUUAACAGAACCCGUCGUUCGAGGUUUGCUCAAGUAUUGGCCGAAGACAUGCAGUCAGAAGGAAGUUAUGUUCCUGGGCGAGAUCGAAGAGGUACUCGACGUGAUCGAGCCGUCACAGUUUACACGUAUUCAAGAUCCCCUCUUCAAACAGAUCGCCAGAUGCGUUUCGAGUCCGCACUUUCAAGUCGCCGAGAGGGCACUCUAUUUCUGGAAUAAUGAGUACAUAAUGUCACUUAUGGAGGAAAAUAAUCAUGUCAUAAUGCCGAUCAUGUUUCCCGCCUUAUACCGUAUUUCCAAGGAGCACUGGAAUCCCACGAUUGUUGCACUAGUUUACAAUGUUCUGAAGACGUUUAUGGAAAUGAACUCGAAACUGUUUGACGAGUUGACGGCAACGUAUAAGGCCGAGAGACAAAGGGAGAAAAAGCGCGAAAAGGAAAGAGAUGAACUGUGGAAGAGACUGGCUGAAUUAGAAUUAAGUAACAGUAAGAAGAUGAUACCGCACAACAGCAGUCCCACAGUGAAGAAGUGAUAUCCCUCCAAAAGUGCACCCUAUUAUCCCCACCAGCCAGCAGUUUCAGCCACUGUCUGCGUUGGACCCAGCAGACUAUGUUAAACAUGUGCUAUAUAGUUAAUUGGUCAUCUUGUAAAUAGAUUCUUCGUGGUUAUGUUUUGUGUUUGGACUUUGGUUGGCCACAUUUAUAUAUAAAUAUAUACACGAUACAUGCAAUUUGGAUAUUAUAAUAGCGAUUUUUGCAAAUAUAUAUAAAUGUAUUCAUUCGAGCUCAGAUUAAGAAAAACUAAAACUAAUUAUAACUAAUGAACGACGAGGAACAGGAAAUCUAAUUGUAUUACGAAUUUCACUUUUUACCUGUGAAUUAUUAUAUUAUAUUUUUUUU